CAUGCAAGUCGAACGGACUUGGAUGUCGGAAGUUUUCGGAUGGAAGAUAUCCAAGUUAGUGGCGGACGGGUGAGUAACGCGUGGGUAACCUGCCCUGUACCGGGGGAUAACACUUAGAAAUAGGUGCUAAUACCGCAUAAGUGCACAGAGUCGCAUGACUUAGUGUAAAAAACUCCGGUGGUACAGGAUGGACCCGCGUCUGAUUAGCUGGUUGGUGAGGUAACGGCCCACCAAGGCGACGAUCAGUGGCCGGCCUGAGAGGGUGAACGGCCACAUUGGGACUGAGACACGGCCCAAACUCCUACGGGAGGCAGCAGUGGGGAAUAUUGCACAAUGGGGGAAACCCUGAUGCAGCGACGCCGCGUGAGUGAAGAAGUAUUUCGGUAUGUAAAGCUCUAUCAGCAGGAAAGAAAAUGACGGUACCUGACUAAGAAGCCCCGGCUAACUACGUGCCAGCAGCCGCGGUAAUACGUAGGGGGCAAGCGUUAUCCGGAUUUACUGGGUGUAAAGGGAGCGUAGACGGUAUGGCAAGUCUGAAGUGAAAACCCGCAGCUUAACUGUGGGACUGCUUUGGAAACUGUUAAACUAGAGUGCAGGAGAGGUAAGUGGAAUUCCUAGUGUAGCGGUGAAAUGCGUAGAUAUUAGGAGGAACACCAGUGGCGAAGGCGGCUUACUGGACUGUAACUGACGUUGAGGCUCGAAAGCGUGGGGAGCAAACAGGAUUAGAUACCCUGGUAGUCCACGCGGUAAACGAUGAUUACUAGGUGUUGGGAGGCUAAAGCCUUUCGGUGCCGUCGCAAACGCAGUAAGUAAUCCACCUGGG
rnacentral:rRNA from 1 species